rnacentral:lncRNA from 1 species
AGGGAUGAUGUUGAUGCUGGAACAGCUUAUUCACCCGAUGAUCAAAAGAGAUUCCCAGAAAACUAGGACCUGAGAGAGUCCCCGUUGGGAGGCGAAUAAGAGAUUCAGUUCUGUCUACUUGUGGUGUGCAUGACCCGAACAAGGAGAUGUCUAGCCAAUCAGAGGAGUUGUUGCACAGCGUCCAGGGGCUUCCACGCCAGGAAAGAGAAAAUGUCUUUCUUGAUCUCAUUUCCGGGUUCUAUAGCUAUAUGCUUCACUUUGGAGAUUGCAUCAAAGGCCAAAAAAUGGGAAGAGGAAAAGAAGAAUAUGUGAGACGAUCAGGAGGACGAGAGAUAAGAGAGGAGCGACGUACCUAAAAAGAAAGACUCGUCUAUCCGCUAGUUCCAUUUCCUUCUCAAUGCCCGGAUCGGCAUGGAUUACAAAGUGGAUUUCUCCCUGUCGAUUGACAUGGCUGGAAUAAGGAAAGGCGGAUAAAAAACAGGAUUGUCUCCGCUCUACUGUGGGUGGCAGAGUAAGAACAUGUGGG